CGCGGGGUGGAGCAGCUUGGUAGCUCGUCGGGCUCAUAACCCGAAGGUCGUUGGUUCAAAUCCGGCUCCCGCAACCA
rnacentral:tRNA from 3 species